AUUGAACGCUGGCGGCAUGCCUUACACAUGCAAGUCGAACGGCAGCACGGGGCAACCUGGUGGCGAGUGGCGAACGGGUGAGUAAUGCAUCGGAACGUACCUUUCAGUGGGGGAUAACGUAGCGAAAGUUACGCUAAUACCGCAUAUUCUGUGAGCAGGAAAGCAGGGGAUCGCAAGACCUUGCGCUGAUUGAGCGGCCGAUGUCAGAUUAGCUAGUUGGUGAGGUAAAGGCCCACCAAGGCGACGAUCUGUAGCGGGUCUGAGAGGAUGAUUCGCCACACUGGAACUGUGACACGGACCAGACUCCGACGGGAGGCAGCAGGGGGGAAUUUUGGACAAUGGGGGCAAACCUGAUCCAGCCAUGCCGCGUGAGUGAAGAAGGCCUUCGGGUUGUAAAGCUCUUUCGGCCGGGAAGAAAUCGCACGGGCUAAUACCCUGUGUGGAUGACGGUACCGGAAUAAGAAGCACCGGCUAACUACGUGCCAGCCGCCGCCGUAACAC
rnacentral:rRNA from 1 species